rnacentral:rRNA from 1 species
AUUGAACGCUGGCGGCAGGCCUAACACAUGCAAGUCGAACGGAUAAACGGCGCUUGCUCCUGGCUUCAGCGGCGGAUGGGUGUGUAAUGCCUAGGAAUCUGCCUGGUAUUGGGGGAUAACGUCCGGAAAAGGGCGCUAAUACCGCAUACGUCCUGCGGGAGAAAGUGGGGGAUCUUCAGACCUCACGCUAUCAGAUGAGCCUAGGUCGGAUUAGCUAGUUUGUGGGGUAAAGGCCUACCAAGGCGACGAUCCGUAACUGGUCUGAGAGGAUGAUCAGUCACACUAGAACUGAGACACGCUCAAGACUACUACGGGGGGGAGCAGUGGGGAAUGUUGGACAACGGGCGAAAGCCUGCUCCAGAAAUGCCGCGUGUGUGAAGAAGGUCUUCGGAUUGUAAAGCACUUUCAGUUGGGAGGAAGGGCAGUAAGUUAAUACAUUGCUGUUUUGACGUUACCAACAGAAUAAGCACCGGCUAACUACGUG